rnacentral:lncRNA from 1 species
CUCAAACAACUUGGCUGCACUUAACAGAAAAUUUACCACAAAGAAAUUAGGGAUCCUUUGUUGUGAAUGUCUGGGCCGAGCUGCAUCCCAGGGCUGGAACUGAGGCGGAGAGAGGAAGGAUUUGCAAGACCAAGCUGAAGAAGGUCAUUUCAGGAAGAAGGCCACCUGCUGAGAUCAGAGGGGAGCCUACCUGUCCUCAAAAUGCAGGCACCUGUGAAGCUGGCAGAGAGCAGGAGAGCCUGCCGCCCUCCCGCACCAGAGCAUGUGCCUCUGCUUGCCCUUCCUUGUGGCAAAGUCACAAAGCAGCCUUGGGUUUGAGUUGUGGACUUGACCUCUUGCUGCCACUGUGGGCCUGGCCUUUGAGAUCCAGUGUCUCCAUCUGCGGCUGGGGUCAUAUUGCUGAGUCACUUCAAGCUGUGGGCUUGUACUGA